AGAACGAACGCUGGCGGCAGGCCUAACACAUGCAAGUCGAACGCUCGUAGCAAUACGAGAGUGGCAGACGGGUGAGUAACGCGUGGGAACCUUCCCAGUGGUACGGAAUAGCUCAGGGAAACUUGAGGUAAUACCGUAUACGCCCUUCGGGGGAAAGAUUUAUCGCCAUUGGAUGGGCCCGCGUAGGAUUAGCUAGUUGGUGAGGUAACGGCUCACCAAGGCGACGAUCCUUAGCUGGUCUGAGAGGAUGAUCAGCCACACUGGGACUGAGACACGGCCCAGACUCCUACGGGAGGCAGCAGUGGGGAAUAUUGGACAAUGGGCGCAAGCCUGAUCCAGCCAUGCCGCGUGAGUGACGAAGGCCUUAGGGUUGUAAAGCUCUUUUGGCGGGAAGAUAAUGACGGUACCGCAGAAUAAGCUCCGGCUAACUUCGUGCCAGCAGCCGC
rnacentral:rRNA from 1 species